rnacentral:rRNA from 1 species
AUUGCACGCUGGCGGCAGGCCUAACACAUGCAAGUCGAACGAGUGGCGGACGGGUGAGUAAUGUCUGGGAAACUGCCUGAUGGAGGGGGAUAACUACUGGAAACGGUAGCUAAUACCGCAUACCAUCGGAUGUGCCCAGAUGGGCUUGGCUAGUAGGUGGGGUAAAGGCUCACCUAGGCGACGAUCCCUAGCUGGUCGGAGAGGAUGACCAGCAACACUGGAACUUGAGCACGGUCCGGACGCCUCCGGGAGCCAGCAGGGGGGCAUAUUGCACAAUGGGCGAAAGCCUGAUGCAGCCAUGCCGGGUGUAUGAAGAAGGCCUUCGGGUUGUAAAGUACUUUCAGCGGGUAGGCGUUACCCGCAGAAGAAGCACCGGCUAACUCCGUGCCAGCAGCCGCGGUAAUUC